UUAAAUAAUAUUUAUCUCUCACCAGGCGGAGUGCUUUUUUAUUGAUCUUACCGCCAUGGGACAGUAGACUUUAUGUGUGUGUGUGUAUGUAUGUAUAUAAAUAAUAUAUAUAUAUAUUGGCCUGCUCGCUUAGCCAGCGGGGUAGCGUCAUUCGAAGGCUAAAACAAUGCGAACGCAUUGUGACCAGCGAUGUGUAACAACAUCUGAUGGUCUGGUCGGUCACGUGAUCACGUGAUAUAUAUAUAUAUAUAUAUAUAUAUAUAUAUAUAUCUGUAUAUAUACAUAUAUAAAUAUAUAUAUAUAUAUAUAUAUACAUAUGUAUAUAUAUGUAUAUAUAUAUAUAUAUAUAUACAUGUAUAUAUAUACUUAGAGAGAGAGAGAGAAGUGAAUAAGAGAAAAUGGAUUAGUCGAUAUUCUUUAUUUCAAACCACUACAAUUGUUUCCACACAUUGUUACACUUGUAAUAGUUUGGAGAUAUGAUAUAACUAACAUAUUGCGUAAUCACUAUCAUCCAUCAAAGAUGUUAAAUGUGUUUCUUCAGGUGAUUACUUUGAAUAAGUCCUUUGAUAAACUAUACUGUGCUGUUUUCAGCAAUUUUCAGACAUAACUUAACCCAUAAAUAUAGCGACAGACGAAACACAAGUAUAAUGAAAAUGUAAAAUGCAGCAACAAAGAAAAAUCUACCAUGUCAACUUAACCACAAAUUACAAUUCUAUUUUCACGAUCAGAUUAUACGGAAGGAAAAGAAAAGCAAAAAGAAGAUUAAACUUAAGUGUUUAGAGAUAAUAAUGUGGUAAAGUGAUAAAGACUGACCAUUUCUGUGCUUAUCAACUCUUUGCUUGAAAGGUACCUAUAGUAUCCUCUGCUAGUUACAAGAAAACAUUUGUCUUCAUUUCGCACCAGAAUCUGCCUCUAAAUAAAUUUAAUUUAUUACUGUCUAGCUUUUAUAUCCUUUUUUUGAAACAUUAGAAAAAUAAGUUAGUAAUACAGUUCUAUAUUUAACAGAUGAGGAAUUAUAUACAUUAUUUGCAUUAUUUACAUUUGACGGAUAUUUGUCCUCAUCUUGUUUGUUGUUAACACGUUUCAGCUGAUAUACCCUCCAGCCUUCAUCAGGUGUCUUGGGGAAAUUGCAAACCUAGGUUCUCAUUCCUAAAGUAUUUUUCGAAAUUGUUGCUGUUGUUGUUGUUGUUGUUGUUGUUGUUAUUAUUAUUAUUAUUAUUAUUAUUAUUAUUAUUAUUAUUAUUAUUAUUAUUAUUAUUAUUAUUAUUAUUAUUAUUAUCAUAAUCAUUAUUAUUAUUAUUAUUAUUAUUAUUAUUAUUAUUAUUAUUAUUAUUAUUAUUAUUAUUAUUAUUAUUAUUAUUAUUAUUAUUUUUCAGGUCACUGCUUGGAAUCGAACUCGGAAUGUUGAGGUUAGUAUCCACCGGCAUAUGGCGUAGUGGUUAAGAGCGCGGGUUACUAACCCCAAGAUUCCGAGUUCGAUUCCAGGCAGUGACCUGAAUAAUAAUAAUAAUAAUAAUAAUAAUAAUGAUAAUAAUAAUAAUGAUAAUAAUAAUGGACUUUUACAACUGGCAAUAACAAUGAAGAUUGCUACAAUUGGCCUAGACACCUACCUGAAAAACUCUGGGGACUGGAUGUUAAAACUUGUCUCAAAACAUGAAAACAAGAAAGCAUCAUACUCAGUAACAAAACAGGCAAAGGAAUAUCUAAGUGAAUUCCGAAUACAACAAAUUUCGGAUAUUCUGAAUGAUAAAUGGCAAGAAAAACCUCUCUAUGGCAAAUAUCCAAAGAAGGGAAUAAUGCAGAUGUUGACAAAGCCCUGACCCACUAAUGGCUAAUGGCCUCUGGCUUAAAUUCUGAAACAGCAGCUCAAGAUCAAUGCCUACCCACAAGGAACUACCAGGCCAACAUAUUAAAGAACGGCAGUAGCCCAACAUGUCGUAUAUGUCAACAACAAAAUGAAACCAUUGGUCAUGUUGUCUCCAAGUGCAGUCUUCUAGCGCCUACAGAGUAUCUCAACAGGCAUGAUAGAGCUGCACAAUAUAUUCACUGGGUAAUUUGCAAGAACCUGGAUUUGCCCCAUGAAAAAACUGGUGGGAACACAAACCACCUCCAGUGCUUGAAAAUGACCACAUCUCACUCCUCUGGAACUUCAGCAUUCAAACUGACAGAAAGAUAGAUGCAAAUAGGCCAGACAUCAUAUUGAAAGACUUCAGACAAAGAACAUGCCUCCUCAUUGAUAUGACUGUCCCAAUCGAUAUAAACGUAUCUGUCAAGACCUACCAAAAACUGAGCAAAUAUAAAGAUCUUGAAAUAGAAAUCAGCAAAAUGUGGAACCUGAAGACUAAAACAAUACCUGUUGUCAUAGGUGCCCUGGGAAUGAUAGCGAAAGGGGCUGAUUGCUACCUAACUCAGAUACCAGGAAACCCAAAAAUGGCAGAAAUUCAAAAGAUAGUGCUCAUGGGAACUGCUCAUAUCCUACGCAAAAUACUUUCUAUGUAAUCUCAAGUUUUAAAACAAACAUAAUUUUCGUUUUUUUUUUUGACAUUCACAAGUACAACACUAAAAAAAACCCAAAUAUAUGGCACACUAGGCAUAACAACAACAUGAACUUCCAACCUGUUGUCUGUUGAGGUCUCUGGGUGAGACUUGGAGCCAACUUGUACAAAUAUAAAGCAAAAGUCAAACAUAUAAUAAUAAUAAUAAUAAUAAUAAUAAUAAUAAUAAUAAUCAUAAUAAUAAUAAUAAUAAUAAUAAUAAUGUCGAAAAAUACCUUAGGAAUGAGAACCCAGGUUCGAAAUUUCCCCAAGUCACCUGAUGAAGGCUGGAGGGUAUAUCAGCCGAAACGUUGUGUUAACAACAAACAAGAUGAGGACAAAUAUCUGUCAAAUGUAAAUAAUGUAAAUAAGUUAGUAGGUAAACUCUCCCUCGCAUUCAUACAUAUUCUUUCAUAUACGCAUAUGCAAAGUAGUAAAUUUGGUCUUAUAUACAUAUACGCACAUGUAUCUAUAUAUGCACACAUACACACUUCUUACGUUCUUACUAUUUUUGCUGCUUACAUUAUUAAUAUAUACAGAUUUCAAAGUCUAACCCACAUACAAAGUUAAGUAUAUAAUUCUCUUUAUACGCACACUUAUCUAUUUAUAUAUGCAAACAUAUAUACUUCUUACACGCAUUCUCACUGUUAAAAAAAAACUACCGAAACUAUUACCAUAUAAUAAAAUAAAAUAAAUAAGCAGAUUGCAGCGAUAAAGUUCUAGAUAUUAAUUGUUUUUAUCAAACUGCAAAAAUGUGCAUUUUAGCCUGUGUAACUAUUUCAGGGUACCUAUUCUUAAAUUUAUCUGUACACAUUAAAAUAGUGCCUCCCCGGUACAGAGAUUAAAUGAUUUUGAAAAGAUAUUGCACGGUAUACUUUUUUUUUAUCACCGUCCAUGUUAUACUAUAUUGUACUUUUCCUUCCAAUUCCAGAUCAGGUCAGCGAGUGACGUGCAGUAUCUCUUGUUAAUGCUUUUAAACGUCACAAUAAGAUUACGAUAUCGGUCAUUGAAGUAACACGCGGUUGUACCAACAUAUACAAAUGCUUCUGCUGUACAUUUGUAUAUCACGUUCUUACGAAGGCAUAUAUUUCCCGGAGGAUAGGCGUCCCUGUCCAUUUCUUUGUCACAUUAUUUUCUAGUCCAUAACUACUAGUUUUCUCCUAUUUCUAAUUUUUCCUUUGUUACUGUGGUUAUUAUUAGUGCUGUUGAUAUAACCUUUAUUACUUUCAUUGUUGUUCAUAGUAGUAGUAGUAGUAACUACUACUACUACUACUACUACUACUACUACUACUACUACUACUACUAUACUAUACACACACAAAAGUGACAAUGAAAACCAUGAAACCCGAAAAUGAAACCGAAAAUGCCGAUCAGGUCGCAUUUCUGUUGAAGUCAUCACACGUGAUCAGCAGCUGCCCAAAAUUUUCAUCAAGGUACUUCCUCCCAAUCCGACACAAUAUACAAUGCCAUGUGCAAGGGAAAAGGCUAUCCUGGCAUAUACAUGGAGAACCAUCCUGUUAUUUAAUACAUGCAUAAACGUAAAGAAGAGGGAUAUUGGUGAAACAUUCCUAUCAAAACUUCUAUCAAGUGGAAACAUAAUAGACUGAAUACUGUUUCGGACAGACAAGAAAAAUAUGUAACGUCAUAGAAGUCGGCUGCUCUGCUAAUGUGAAUAUCUUUUCGAAAAUCAAAGAAAAAGCAGGCAACUACAGACAACCGCUUCGCAAUCUCCCAGUUUCUAUACCUAGAUUACAAAUAUUUACCUGUAAUAAUUUGUGCUCUUGGUUUAGUGACCAAAUGCCUCAGUGAUAAUCUUGAUAAGCAGGGGUUUUCAGAAAAAAAUUCAGUCUGCGAGCACGCACAUUACAAAUAUAAGUAAUCGGAACGUUAAAAUACCAAGACAUUUUCUCCCAUAUUCAAAAUGUGAAUUUACUUUUGCUAUCCAUAAUCUAACGUUAGAACAUUAUAUCUUUUUUAGAAACCAGCUCCUUCUUUCAGGAAGAUUUCAGAUAAUUAAAAAUAGAGAACAUGUAUAUGCGCGCGCGCGUGCGUGUGUGCAUAUAUAGUUGAAAUUUAUAGAAAAACAAAAGACGAAGACAAGCGUAUGAACAACAAGCAAGUGUAUUAAUUUGACGCUCGGGAAAUAUGAAAACGUCUUUUACAUUUCGAGCCUACGCUCUUCAGCAGAAAAGAAUAAGACGAAAUAAAAAGAAAGAGAAUGAAAAAAAAUAAAACGUAUAGAGUUCAGCGGUCCAGCAUGCCGAAUGUAUAUAUAUAUAUAUAUAUAUAUAUACCUACAUAAAAAAUUUUACAUUGUAGCAUGUUCACGCUAAAGUAAUGUACGAGGCUAUCCACAAGAUAACUAUAAGACUGCUUUUCCCAAGUGUAAACAGAAAAAAACAUGAUCCGGUAAAGGAACUGUAUUCACUCGAUUAGCUAGAAAUAAAAGCUGUUCUUCUUUAAAGUUUAGGAAACGAAAUGACACAUUGAAUAAUGUUGACUUGCGUAUCCCUUAAAAGAUAGGAUGGCCAUUUUGAUUUGGAUGCUUUGAAUCAUUGAUACCUAAACCCUAAAUCCGGUUUGAAUAGAGACCAAACAACAACAGCAAUAAAAACAAGAACAUCAGCAGCCAGACUAGAAGCGCCCAAAUGAUUCAAACUUAGAUUCCGAUGCCUUUUCAAGGGACCAAUUCUGCGGCGUAAAGAGUGGCUAUAAGGGGAAUCUAGUUGAGAGGAUAUGAAAGCAAUUAUGCGGAUAAACAAAUUACAUACAUCUUGUUUUCAUAUACAAUAUCUAUAUGUAUGUUUGUAUGUAUGUAUGUAUGUAUGUAUGUAUGUAUGUAUGUAUGUAUGUAUGUAUGUAUUAUGUAUGUAUGCAUGCAUGUAUGUAUGUAUGUAUGUAUGUAUGUAUGUAUGUAUUAUGUAUGUAUGCAUGCAUGUAUGUAUGUAUGUAUGUAUGUAUGUAUGUAUGUAUGUAUGUAUGUAUGUAUGUAUGUAUGUAUGCACGUAUGUAUGUGCGUAUGCAUGUAUGUAUGUAUGUAUGUAUGUAUGUAUGUAUGUAUGUAUGUAUGUAUGAACACACACAAAUAGACAGAAAGCAAAGACUGAAGACUUUCAGACGAUGAAUAUUCAAGUAUAAAUAUAUAUAUAUAUUGAUAGAUCAAACAUACGCAGAGUACAAACGACAGAUAAAAUUAAAGGGGUAGAAAUAAGGCGUUAUAAUUCAACAGCUGUUUCUGGAGCAUCGGAAAUCCCUUAGAAUGCUGGUUGAUGAAGCUAACCAGAAUAUGUAGGCCGCAAUGGAAACAAACAAACAUUGGAUAAACCAAGCCUCCGUCAUCAGGUUAGAAAAAAAUCUUACACUUCAGAUGCAGAGAAAUUUUAAAGUAGAAUGUUUAAAUCCAAACAUUCCACCUUUAAAUUUCUCUGCAUCAUGAUCUGAAAUGUAAGAUAACGCAACGUUUCUGUAACACUGAGGAUACCCGCAUGCAUGCAUCCAUACGUACAUACAUAUAUAUGUGUGUGUAUGUGUGCAUUCAUAAGUGUGUGUAUGUGUAUAUGAUCAUAUAUGUGCGUGUGUAAAUAUUUCCAUAUACAACUAUCUAUCUAUCUAUCUAUCUAUCUAUCUAUCUAUCUAUCUAUCUAUCUGUCUAUCUAUCUAUCUAUCUACGUAUCUAUCUGUCUGUUUGUCUGCUCCUCUCUCUCUCUCUCUAUAUAUAUAUAUAUAUAUAUACACACUCAAAAUAUAUAUUCAUACGUAUGCAUAUAUAUGCGUAUAUAUGUAGAUACAUACAUACAUAAAUAUAUAUAUACAUAGAGAGAGAGGGAGAAAGAGAUGAUAGAUAGAUAAAAGUACAUAUGUAUAUGUGUAUGUCUAUAUCCAUAAACAUAUAUACCUACACACACACUCAUAUACAUACAUACAUACAUACAUAUAUACAUAUAUAUAUAUAUAUAUAUAUAUAUAUAUAUAUAUAUAUAUACUUACAUACAGAUAGAUAGAGAUAGAUAUUAAUACAUAUGAAUACAUGUAUUUAAAUCUGUGCGUAUAUUGGCAUAUGUAUAUAAUUGUAUGUGCAUGUAUAUGUAUAAACACAUAUACAUUCAAUUUCCUUGACACCGAUUCUUUUCAUCACGAUUUUCCAUUCAACACGUUGCUAUAUCGUGAUCCAGGCAUCAUUAGUUUGUAUGGAAAAUGGCGACCUAGCAGAUGGAGUUGUAAAUGUAAUAUUUGAAGAUAUAUUUCUUUUGAUUAGAAAUAAAUCCUUUUGUCGCAGACAACACUUAUGAAUUACAAUAAACCACAUUAUAUUACUAGUACCUUUCUAGACAAUGAAGGAGUGUCUACCUAGACGCGUUGCUAGCUAAAAACAGCAGUAAAAUCUCUGUCAAGUGAUUCUGUGAAGUCUUAAAUAUAGAAUACAUUAGAUUAUGUACUCAUUGAUAUCAUUAAAUUUACGAAAUACUCUCUGGAAGGUUUGGCGCAUAUGUCUGGUUAAUCAGAAUAGACUAGGGCUUUACAACAACUGGGAUAUACUUAAUAAAUUUCCCUUAUCAGAAGCUGCAUAUCCGCGUGGAAAUAAGCAUGAGGAGGAUAUUCUUACGCAGGCACAAUAAAACAGGAUGCAUUUAUGUAUUUAUUCUAUUUUAAGUAAUUUGCAUAAAUGAAACGAAAUUGAAGGAAGAGCUAUAACUCGGGGUAACCAGUGGUAUCUAUUUGAGCAGUCGAAACGAAUAAGGUUAUAUUAACAUACAAGAUAAAUCCUUGAUUUAUUGAAAUUUUGUCAACUUCCAUAAAAGUAGAAUAAUCCCUUGGUGGCAAAACUGGGACCGUCUUUAAAUGAGAUGGAGAGCUAAACUCAAGAACCAAGAAUGUUCCAAAAUUGAGUGUGCCAUUAACGAAAAAAUUGUCUGGUAUCAAGAGGAGAGCUGUGAACUGGUGCUUCCGCCUCAAUAGACAUCAUCAGCAUAUUAGUUGUCCUAUCUUAUCACCAUUUUGACUAUGAUAAUAAAGGUAUAUAAUCUUGGUACAAAAUCACCAAUUUGUAUUUGAUAUGUGCAUAAUCGAUUAAAUUAAAACCUGCAUGUUAUUGGUAUUCCAUGCAUUCCGUGAGGAAUAAAUAUUAACUCGUUUAAGAUUUGAAAAUAGAUCAUAAAAUGGAUAGAUCAUAUUUAUUUCGUGUCAGUUCGUUUUGAAUAAAAAUCCCACCAUGGUCUACAUGAAAGAUAGACAUAAUCUGUGUUCCAGCCCAGUGUCUUAGGUGCCGUUAACAGAGUCCCAUUUGCUGUAGUAUUCAAGCCUGGUCUCUGGUUUGGGAGCACUUUACUCUCUUCCUUUCUCCCUCCAUUCAUCCUAAGCCCCCAAUUAAGGUGGCCCUGUAAACGGCUCAUGGACACUGACAAAAAAAUAAUAUAUUUAAAAAAACAGGAAUGUGGAAAUUUUGGGGUAUUAUUUAUUCUCCAUUACAUGUGUUCCAUUUGAUAAUAGGAAUUACAAAGAUCUACACGUCUAUCUAGCAUAUAAAACUUUGUAAUGCCUAUUAGCAAAUCAAAGACGUGUAAUGGAGAAUAGAUAGUAGUAAAAAAUUUCCACUUUCCUGACUCUACAAGUAAUAUUUCUGUAAUUCUCAAUUCUAAUAUGCAUUGGGUCAUCCCAUAAAUAAUGCAGUUUUUUCAAUUGCAUGGAGGGGACAGAAUAAGCUACCUGCACCAACUUGCUAUAAAAGCAAGUUGUAAUUUUAUCUUGUCCUUAUUCUUAUUGCAAGUUUUGAAGAGUGCAGUUCGAUUUUAACAGUUAUUUUUUUCAAAGCUAUAGUGGAAGGGACAAAGGAGCAUAUUCGGCAUACUUUGCUUUAUGAGUUCAAUAAAUGCGACAAUGCAAAAAUUUUAGGUUGAUCUGGCCUCCGUCUUCGGGAUGGAAAGAUACGUAUCUAACCCUAAUGGUUUCAUAUCCUUGACUUUUUGCCAACUACAUCUGCCAACGUUAUGAAGUAAUUCCGAGCCCCCAGAAAUAGCUGUCGGCUCUGUAACACCAUACCUUCUCCCCUUAAUUUUCUGUCUUUGUACUCUGUGUAAGUUUGCUUUGCUAAUAAUAUUGUUGUGAUAUGACUUACGGCGCCCCCUUGCGAGAGAUAGGCUGGUCCGAGUAAAGUAUAAAUAGUAACGAUCCGAGUGAGUUACAGGUUCAGAAUUCGGAGUCGAGUGAAGUUCGUGUUAGCUCGCAGUAAAGUCAGAAGUUGUAGGUUGAUUAGUUUACAAGGAAUAUUGAUUGUUGGUUCGUGAAACGAUCUGUUAGUUCAUUACAUUGUUUUCACUGCUGUCUGGUUACCUUAUUUAUUGUACGUAACAAAUCAUGUUACAACAUCUAGCGACGAGGGUUUCGAAGCUCACGUAGGUUAUUUAGCAAUUUGUUCGUGAUACAACUUGUUAAAUAACGGAAGACUUAUUAGCUUCCAUAGUACAGUUGCAAAAGCAACAAGAGCAGCAACAGGAGUUACAGAAGCCACUAUUACAGCAACAACUACAACAACAACAAUUAUUGGAGCUAUAUUCAAAGAAAUCCCCAAAAAUGAGGAAAGUUCGUUUUCGCCAGACGGCGUUUCGAACUCGAUUAAUGAAUUCAGUUAUAACUCAGAGGAGGGUAUAACUUUUGCACCGUACUACAGAAGGUAUGAGGAGAUUUUUAAGCAAGAUUGCAAAUCAUGGUCCGACGAACGAAAAGUGAGAUUGUUAUUGCGAAAAUUGACUCCGUUAAAGCAUGAACGUUACUGUAAUCCCUUAUUACCCGUCAAACCCAAUGAAAUUUGUUUUAAAGAAACAACAGAAUUACUAUCUAACAUAUUCGGUGAUAAAAAUUCUCUAUUUAACACCCGAAUGGAGGUGUUGGAAUAUAACGAAAAAAGAGAAUGAUGAUUUUAUCACACAUGCAGGAACAAUCAACGGGAUGUGUCAAAGUUUUAAACUCAAAGAAUUUACACCUGAGAUGUUCAAGUGUCUUAUUUUCGUACAAGGUAGUGUUGGUGGUGGCGGUUUGUGUGUGUGUGUGUAUGAGUGUGUGUGUGAGUGUGUGUGUGUAUGAUUGUGUGUGAGUGUGUGUGCGUGUGUAUGUGCAAAUUACCUACACUAUAAAUGUGUUCUACAUUUUUUGUAAACAUCUAAGUAUCUCGUCCUUCUUAGGAGAAGAUUGAGCAACUGCUGAGCUGAUGAUGCUUAUUGGGGUAGAAACAUUUGUCCAUAGCUGCCCUGCUCUCUUAAGUAAGCUGACUCCAUUUUCUUUAAUGACAUGUCAGUUUUGGAAAAAUCUUAAUUCUUGAGUUUUGUUCCCUUUCUUAUUUGGAGAUGGUACUAAUUGCCACCGAACAAUUAUUCUAACUUUAUUGGAAGCUGUUAUAAUUUCGGUUAAUCAAAUGCUUAUCUUGCAUGCUAUUUAAUCUAUUUAAUUAUUCGUCUCCGUUGUUCAACUAUACAGCAUUGGCCACUCUGAGUUAUUUCUCUUACCUCAUUUUCGUUUUAUUUAUGCAAAUUACCCUGGCUAUAAAUGCGUUCUACACUUUGUUAUAUGAUAUAUGUCGAAGUAUUUCGUUCUGUUAGAACAAGAGAGGGCAACUGGUGUGCUGAUGGCACUGAUUGAGGCAGAAACACUUGUUAAUAGUUCUCGUCUCUAGCCAAGCCAAUCAGACUGUUCGUUUAAAGACUCACAGUUUUGGAGAGUUCUUGGUUCUUGAGAUCCCCCACCUUGCCAUUUGAGGAUUGUCCCAGUUAUUCCACCAAGCAAUUAUUAUACCUGCUCUGGAAGUAGACGAAUACCUUAAUAAUUUAAGAAUUGAUCUUGUAUAAUAUUUAAUAUACCUUUAUUCGUCCUUAUGGUUCAAAUAUAUCCCACUGACCACUCUGAGUGAUCUCCUUCUGCUGGAGAGAAGAUUGGGCGAUCGUUGUUUCUAAGCAGAAACACAUUUACAUAGAUCUAUUUCUCCAAAUACAAUCAUUCUAAUCAUUCUGUCUUUUAUUUUAAUGGUGUGUAGUUUUAAAGAAUUAUUAGCUUUCGGGAUUAUGUCUUCUUGGUUCUCGAGAUUAUCUCUUGACUCUCGAGAUUAUCUCUUCGUCUUAUUUGGAGAAGGAGAGAGCAUCUCAAGAGUCACUAACUGAUUAUUCUACUGCCUAUGGGAGCAAACACAAUUUCAAUAAAUCAAGAAUUUAUCUUCUAUAUUAAUAAUAUACCCUUUUUCAUAUUGGCUCUUCAAAUACAUAAUACUGGUCACUCUAGGUUAUAUGCCCUAGUUAAUAUUCAUUUCACACGCAAACAUACACGCGCAUACACGCACGCACACACACACACACACACGCACACGCACACAUACACACACACAUACACGCGCGCGCACAAACAUUAAACUUAUUGUACAGGAGCUCAGACUGCAACAAAUAUAAAGAACUCUGGGAGUAAUUUCAAAAGGUAUUAAAGCUGAAAAGUUUCAGCGUUACAAAGGUUAUAUAUAUCUCGAUUUUUCCGAUUUUAAAGAUAAAUUUAAACUUGUAAAAUAUUACUUAUGUAAAGUUAAUUAAGCGGCGAGGAAAUAAGGGUAUGUAAGAGUAUAUAAGGAGAAAGGAAACGUAUAAAAGAGAAGGAAGUGGGAAAGGAAACGGAGUGAUUUAUGAAGGAUGAUUUGGAUGGGUUGACAGAUGGUGUGUUCACGGGUCGAGAAAAUGGUUGUGUUCUAGGAAACACGCCAGGGCGUUGUUUUUCCUAUAAUAAAAAUUAGUUUAGAAAGCUUGGUCGCAAUCUGGCUGCUACUUCGAGCUGCAUUAACUACCACAUAAAAACUCCAUCAUUGGCAUGCAAUUGAUCCGCUUGUUAUUAUUUUUGCUUAGCUUUUGAUCAAGUUAACCUAUAAUCGAAGGUGCUCAAGCCAUGCCCUUCCUGUGUUUUUGUCUAUUCGGGACCACAUUUUCCUGAGACUGUUAUCAUUUAUCAAAGACUAUUGUUUGUGAUUAGAUGGAUAUUUCACUUCUCUUUCUUGCAAAGCAAGCGACCACACAGAGGUUCCCUAAUUGGCACGUAAUUGAUCCUGUUUAUCACUGUUGUGUGUAGGAGUUAAUAAAUAUCUAAUUAAUUUUGCCUUGUAUCAUUUCUAUUUUCUUUUUUCCGAUCUCGUAUAUAAAGCAUUACAUACUGGAUCUAUCUAUCUAUAUAUAUAUAUAUAUAUAUAUAUAUAUAUAUAUAUGUAUGUAUGUAUUAUGUAUGUAUGAAUAUAUAUAUAUAUAUAUAUAUAUAUAUAUAUAUAUAUAUAUAUAUAUAUAGCGAGGACUUCCCAUUUCCACAUAAUUCAAAUAGGACAGUGGUUGACUGGUGAGGCUUUUUUUCUUUCUUUCAAAGAACGAGAUAAAAUUAACAUUUGCUAAUUAAGAAUUAAUCAUUAACGCCAGUAAUUAUAGCCGAGAGAACGGAAAUGGUUGCUAAAAAUUAUAUGAACACGCACACAUUCACAUAUACUUAGGUGCAUAAAAACAUAUUGACACAUACAAAUUUACACACGUAAUUCCUCUCUCUCUCUCUCUCUCUCUCUCUCGCACACAAUCACAAACACACACAAUCACAUACACACACACAAACCACACAAACACGCAAACACACAUACACACACACACACGCACACUCACACACACACACACACACACUCAUACAGAUGUAUAUAGACAUUCUUUCAUAUAACCUACAUAUAUAAAUAUUUCACACUUACAAAUCCAUAUUUUGUGCUUAUGCAUGCGUGUGUGUUUGCGCGCGCGCGUGAGAGAGAGCAUGUGUGUGAGAGUAUGUAUGUAUGUAUAAAUACGUGCACACACACUGUAAUUGUAGGUAUUAAUAUAUAAAUGUAUCGAAAAUUCAAAUACUGUCGCUAAUUCUAAUAAUAUUGGCCCUCAUUCUGCUGAAUAUAAGAUCAUAAAAGUUUACAAAUGUUGGUGAUAGAUUUAGAGACCUUACUAUAUCAAGCAGCAUGGGACUCGAACGAAAAAAAGAGGAAAGCUUGAUAAAUAUAAAACUGGAACAUAAUCGCAUAUGUCUGUCUAUCUGUUUGCCUGUCUUCAUUCUAUAUUCUUACAUACGUGUUUGUGUCUGUGUGUGAGCAUGUAUGUAUAUGUGAGUGUGUAUAUAUGUGUGUGUGUAUAAAUAUAUAUAUAUAUAUAUACAUAUAUAUAUAUAUACAUAUAUAUAUAUAUAUAUAUAUAUAUAUAUAUAUAUAUAUAUAUAUAUAUAUAUAUAUAUAUAUAUAUAUAUAUAUAUAUAUAUACAUAUAUAUAUAUACUCUUUUAUCUUUUUAGUUGUUUCAGUCAUUUGACUGAGGUCAUGCUGGAGCAUCACCUUCAAGGUUUUUAGUCGAACAAAUCGACCGCGGGACUUAUUUCAUAAGCCUAGUACUUAUUCUUUCGGACAUUUUUGAAGAACCACUAAGUUAAGGAGACGUGAACACACCAACACCGGUUGUCAAGCGGUGAUGGGCGCACAAAUACAGACACCAAGACGCAGACACAUUCACACACACACACACAUACGUCGAGCUUCUUUCAUUUACCGUCUACCACAUCCACUCACAAGGCUUUUGUCAGCCCGAGGCUAUAGAAGACAGUUACGUAAGGUGCCAUGCCGUGGGACUGAACCUGGAACCACACAGCUACGUCUGUGCCAUAUAUGUAUAUAUAUGCUUAUACAUAUACUACAUAUAUAUAAGAUAACUCAUAUUUAGUACAAUGAACGUUAAACACAAUAGGCAAUCGUAAAUAAUUAUAUGUCAAGGAAAGAUAAAACAAGCUCAAUGACUAAUAAUAUUUUAAUGAUUUCGGGCUGGUACGAAAGACAACUCCAAAAUAUUUCGGUCGUAUUGCGUCGCCUCAGUAAAUCAUAGAUUUCGCCGUACUUGCAGAAGUGGUGAUAAGAGAAACAUUAAGCAUAUGUUUAACAUUACACCCUAAAAUGCAUGAAAAUGAGCAUAUUCUCAGAAACAGUCAGACAUAUUUACACUUAUCAAAUGUAUACGUGCUAGGGCGGCCAUUUAGAGCGAAAAUUUUUCAAUUUAUCCUCUACAGAUGCUAGUAAAUAGUAAAUCGACCAGGACAGGACGAGAUCUGUUCAAGAAGUUUUUAAGUCUGUUGGUCAGGAUAUACUAAAAGUGACGGCAGUUUGGCAACAUUCCACAAUAUUUCGGCGUUUGCAAGAAACCAAAUACAAUAUUGUAACUAAUGCACACGUGUAUUUGUAACAGAUCUGCCUGUCUCUGUCUCUCACCUUCUCUCUCUCUCUCUUCCUCUCUCUAUUUCUAACUCACUUUCUCUCUCUCUCUCCUCUUCUGCUUACUUCUGUGUGAGUCUCUCCCCCCAUCUCUUUCGUCGGCGACAAUGAAGUGCUACUGUUAAACAUGUUAGCUAUAAAUUAAAUUAAAAAGAGAAUUGAUUGCUUUUAUCAAUUAAAAUAUCCUAUGCACUCUUUUGUAAAUAUGUAUGUAUGUUUGUACGUAAAUAUCUGGUUGUUGCUAUGUACUAGUAUUUAUCAUUCCCCAUAUCCUUAUGUGCCCAUCUGUGAAUAUUUAUGCGUUCUAAAAAUACAUCAUACACUUACAAGCGUAUAUUACACACACACAUUUCCGCACAGAGGCACAUAUACAAAAUUAAUAUAUAUAUAUAUAUAUGCAUUGCAUACAUGUAUACAUAAAUACAUACGUAUGUAUAUAUAUAUAUAUAUAUAUAUAUAUAUAUAUAUAUAUAUAUGUAUAUAUAUAUAAAUACAUACACAUGUAUAUAUAUAUAUAUAUACAUACACACAUGCAUGCAUUUAUAUAGAAGUCCAUCGUAUAUAUGUGUAUGUGUGUAUUUGUUUGUGUAUAUGUUUGCCACCUGCGCGCUUGAAACCGGUGUUUGUGUGUUUCUCUCCCCGUAACCUAGCGGUUCGGUCAAGGAUAUCGAUAGAAUCAGUAUCAGAAUUUUGAGAAAAGUACUGGGGUCGAUUCAUUCGACUAAAAUUCUUCAAGGUGGUGUCCCAGCGUUGUCGCAGUCUAAUGAUUGAAACAGGUAAAAGAUAUACUGGUCCAGUAAAGAAUAGUGAUGUGAUAGUCAAAGACAGUGAAAAAUCCUAUCUCAAAUAAACAUUGCUUGAGAUUGAAAGUGAACUUGAACCAUGAAAAGAAGAGGACAGAAAAAGAAGACUGUAAGGACAGAAGAGAAGGCUAUAAGAAAUGUAAAGACAAACCCUAAAGCCUUCUAUAGAUUUGCAAAAGUGUCUGCUUCUGUACGGUACAAGAUAGGGCCAAUAUUCGAAGAAAAUUGCUCACUGAUUGCAAACCCCAGUGGACAAGUGAAAUAUUGAAUGUUCAAUACAAAAGUGUUUUCACACCUCCGUAGUGACACUUGCAAAUAAUUAUGGCUGAUGAGUUCUUUAGCACCACAGCUUUACACUAGAAGACAUAGCGAUUAUCCAUUACACAGAAAUAGAAGAAACUAAUGAAAUGAGCUUAAACUCAGCCACAGGCCCUGAAGGAGUCUCAACAAUCCUCCCAAAGAAAUGCAAGCAAAACCACUACAUAUCCUCUUCCAAAACCUCUUUGAAAAUGAGAAGCUUCCCAGAAAGUCAAAGGAAGGCAUAACAUGUCCUAUCAAUAAAGGAAGUAGCAGAGCGGAUGUUAAAAAUGGUAGGCUUGUUUCGCUAACCUCACAUGCCUGCUAAAUCAUGGAACUCAAACUCAGGAGGAAGCUGAUCACAUUCCUAGAAAAUAAUGGCUUGUUCCCUUGCAAAUGUCUUUGAUGACGUUGAUCACAGGAUGAUAUGUCACAAGCUACGGAGACUCGGCAGUGUCGGAAAACUAUGAGUGGUUACAUACUUCACGUGGUGGCUGCUAAAGGGGCCCUCUCCAUGGAGUCAGUAAUAACGAUUGGAGUGCCUCAUGGAACUGUCUUGGAGUCGCUGCUGUUUACGAUAGCUCUUGGACAUGCCAUCAGUUACACAGACAGUCACACUAGCUACACAAACGACUCAGAAGUGGUAAAAGCCGUCAAGGAACUAUUCAAUGGAAAUCUUCUACUGAAAGACCUAGAUGCCAUCUAUAAAUGUACUGAAAAAAACAAUAUGCUACUGCAAGAAAAUUUCAAGCCCCUGCUAUAAGACAGCUUGCGCUAAAAUGCCACUACAGAGAUACUUAAAUGUGUGUGUGUAUGACGGGAUUCUUUCAGUUUCCGUCUACCAAAUCCACUUAUGUGGCUUCGGUCGGCCCGAGGCUGUAGUAGAAGACAUUUACCCAAAUGAUUCUACUGACCUGGGAUAAUUGGCUGUCUUAGGAACUCUAUAUACACAAAUAGUCAUAACAUCAACUACCUGUUGAAUCAUUCUGCACUCUUAGAAAGUAAAUAUUUCCUUUAGUUAAACUAAACGUAUACUCUCUAUGUUAUGUGUGCCUCUUAGGUCAGCUCCUAGCAUGUAUUCUUUUCUUUUAUUCUUUUACUCGUUUCAGUCAUUUCACUGCGGCCAUGCUGGGGUAUCAACUUCAAAGUCGAACAAACAUAUAUAUAUGUGUGUGUGUGUGUGUGUGUGUGUGUGUACGUUGGGCUUCUGUCAGCUUCCGUCUACCAAAUCCACCCACGAGGCUUUGGUCAGCCUGAAGCUGUAGAAGACCCUUACCCAAGGUUCCACGCAGUGGGACUGAACCUAGAACCAUGUGCUUGGAAAGCAAGCUUCUUACCAGGCAGUCACACCUGCGCGUGUAUGAAUGUAUAUUCUAAUUUAUGAUAUUCUCCAGUAGAAUACUGUGGAGGAUUUUUCAUUAAAUUUCCAAAAUAGUUAUUUGUAUGUGAUAUAUGCAGUGACCAGUUCUUUUGUUGCUGAUCAAUUUUUAUCCUAACCACUUGGAUGUAAACAACUACUCUAUAUUGCAUGGGUAAAUGAUUUGCUGUCUCCAGUUCAACAGCAGCUGACAAAAUGAAUAGUCACUGAAAUAUUUAGAUAUCACGCAUGAACUGAAUUAUGGUAAAUAUUCCAUAUUUUCUUUGCGUUAUAUUCGUGGUCAAUUCUUCCUAGUUGUUAAAUUACAGGGACGUAUGUUCAUGGCUUCGACUAUAUGUUGAAUGGUUUACAACCAGGAAGUCUUUUAUGGAACUUAAAGGCAAUUAAGGCCAAUUUUCAUUUGAUGUAGAAGUAACUUUUAGGGGUUAUUUUCUUCAUAUCUAGUAAAUUUUGGAUAUAUAGAAUUUACUACCUUAUUAAUCAUGAUUGUGUUUCUGUAUUCAUCAUAUUUCCGGAGGAUAAAAUGAUAGCUGAGUCCAACUAAUUGUACUAGAACAACCAAGUUGAGGAAGUUAAAAAUGUCUUUCUGUCCACCAUAAAAAAAAAACAUGAUAAAAUGCAGUUCUGGUGCUUGUGUUAAUGUUUGGUACGAAUGGAAACAUAUAUGCUGAAAUAACUUAAAUCUAGUCUGAAAGCGGACGGCAGUAUAGAUAGGAAUUCGUCUUUCAUUAGUAAUCUACAGAAAGAAAAACUACAGUUCUCCUCCGAGAUCAACACCUUUGGUCAGUCCAUCUCCACGUGCUGUGUGUAUUGCUGAUUCCAUCAAUUAGAAUUCAAAGGUCGAAAUGCUAGAUACGGUCUGCUCAUCUCAAUCAUUAGUCUUCGCCAAUGUCUGGAAUUCCUAUAUAAAUAUCUAUCUUAGAUUGGUGCAAAAUUAUUUCUUACAAAAGCCAAUUCACCGUCAUCGUAUCAAAGGCAAGACUUAUGCCUGAAACCGAAUGCAAAAUGGAUUCAAUUAAAAGGUGUUCCCUGCCCAAAUUUAUGAGAUAUAUCAGAAGUUCAGUGAUGUUUGGGGGCAGUCCUCGGCCGUGAAUACUGGUUCUCUUGUUCCAGUUGAAAGUAGAAUGAACGAGUAUAGUUAUGUUGAGAUCUUGGAAAAUAUGUGUUGAUGAAAAUGUCAUUAAAUUGGCAACUUGUUCAUGAUAGCACUUAAUACUGUUCUGCAAUGUCGGUCAAAGAUUGGAUGAGUGCAAAAAUCUUUUUUUUUUUUUUUAAAAAGGACUAAAUAAUGGAAUGCAGUCAGUUGGUCAGUUCAUUAAACUGGAUUUAAAUUGCAUAUAAAAGUUAUAGCGUUUAAUUAAGCGUGAUGUUCGAUAUCAAACUCACCAAAAUAUGUAACAUUUGAUUGCAAUCACCAAUUUGCCUUGGAAGACAUUUUAAUUGGAAGAAUGUAUUAAAUUAGAAGGGAAUAUACCUUAAAAUAAAGAAUUAUGCUACAAAAUAUUGACUUUUACAAUUAAUGUAUAUCAUGAUAAUAUACAAUAAAAUAAGUGUACUUACUUCUAUCUCUGGCAAAAAUGGGCCGUAAUUGUGUUUAAGAGUCGUAAAAACUGAAUUAUUUGGUUAAUUGGUUUGAUGGUAGAGAUAGCGGUGCAGAAAUAAUUUCCAUUUCAUUGGCUAUAAUACAAAAUAGCAAACAAAGUGUUCCAUGCAAAAUAAUCAGAGUGGUCUAUCAUGUACUUGUUUGCAUUGAGUACGUUUACGUGUUCUUUCUACAUUCAUAUAUAUAUAUAAAUUUAUAUAAACAGCGAAGGGCAAUGUGAUACCAUAACAGAAAAAUUCAAUAGUCACUAAGUGUGACUAAGGAUGCUUAUAAUGAUGUAGGAGGAGCGCAGAGUACAUACACACAUACUGUAGGUAUCGCGAGGACUGUUCGAACGGCGCAUAAUCGUCUAAUUUCCUCUGCCAGCAUAUAUAUAUAUAUAUAUAUAUAUAUAUAUAUAUAAAACGGCAGUUUGUCUGUGCGUUUUCUGUGUGUCUGUUUUCUCGUACCCUCACUCUGACCACGGCUUUCAACCGAUUCUGAUGAAACUUGACACACACAUAGCCCAAUGUCAUAAUUCAAAACUAACGCAGCGAAAAUUUUGAAAAGUUCCCCCAGUUCUGAAAAAAAUCGAUAAAUUCGACAUGGGGUCGAGAAUCAGAAACCCAAAUCACAGACCGUCUAGGGGACGCAACUCCACCUUUUUUAACUCUCAAAAAUAAUUUACCAUCAUUUUUUUUCCAGUUUUUUGCUAUUUUUUGGCUAUAACUCUCUAAAAAUGCUUUAUAGUUAUUUCCCUUACAAACCUGAGCAACGCCGGGCGAUACUGCUAGUAUAUAUAUAAACCAGCUUAGAGAAGAAGAAGAAACGAAACGAAACCAAUCGAAUCGACGCGAAGGCGCUCAGUCAUACAAUAGUGUAAUAAAUAAAAUAUAUGCAUACAUACAAACAUAUAUGUACGUACCUACAUCUACAUGUAUAUAUACAUGCAUAUAUAAAUAUAUAUACGUGUGUACAGGACACCACAAAUAGACGUAGAACUCAACGAGAAACGAAAACGUAAAAACAGCAUGGAACGGACCAUUCCUUUAACAACGAAAAAACAGAGUACAAGACAACUACACAAGGAAAAAUCCCCUUCAUCAGCCUCGAGCGAACGUUCGAAGUGUCCAAGAUGUUCCUGUGUGUAAAUUGUUUUGAAUGGAUAAAGUGUUGCACAGCAUUGAGCCCGCUUUUCAGUGCAAUCAGCUACGACACUAAUGGUACAACAGAGACUGAGACAACCAUAAUCCAACAGCAAUCAUCACCAGUUCACGAUUAUAUGGUCGUUGGUUCUAUUUCUUGCCUUGUACUCUUGACCAAGGUGCUUCAUACUGCUCCAUUCUACUUAGCUGUUAUUGAGUAGCAGUCGGGUGCUAGUUCAGCUUUCGCUCUUCCUCUAGCUGUUACAUUCUGUAUGUUCACUUGGUCAAGGGUAAGUGACUCGUGGGGGUACCUAUACCAGUUGUGACUAUAUAGGAACCUAAAGCGAUUAGUGAAAGCAUGGCGCAUAUUACUAAGACGUGCUCCUCGUGAGAUGUAUACACACAUUGAAACAUCCGAACAAGAUGUGUAUCUGGUGCAAAGUACGUUUAAUAGGAAACAGUUUAACGUAAUAUGAGUUAAUAAUAAGAUAAAGGUCAUAUGAACGGACGAAAGGAAAGUUAUAAUAUUAAGAUGGAUAUAACAAUAAGGUACACAUCUAAUGAGCUUGCUUGGCCCAUCUUGGUUUCAAGAGGAUUCCAGCUGUUGAAGUUAGUUGUUGCUGUUUUGAUUCAUACUUUAUCUGAAAUUCAUACAUGUAAGUGAUAAUGGCACGAAGUUAUUUGUGAUGACGAUGUUAAAGAUGAUGAUGAUGCCGGUGGUGGUGGUGGCGGCGGCGGUGAUGGUGAUGGUAGCGGUGAUAACGGUGAUUUUAGUUUUGAUGGUCGUGUUGUUGGUAGUGAUAGCAUUAAAUAUGUUGAUAUGUUGCUGGGUGGAGAGGAGGACUUUGAGCAGAUGGAGACGAUGACGACGACGACGACAGUGACGCUGGCUAGGUUUGUUUGUUUGUUUGAAUUUAUUACAUUAAAAUAAUUAACAGAUUGAGUCGUGCAGUUUAAUUUUAGAAUAUCAAGUCUGUACAUGAUUUGGAUUAUAUAGUUAAUUAUUUAAUUAUAUAAAAUGUGUGUAUGUGGUUGUAUCUAUCUAUCUAUCUAUCUAUCUAUCUAUCUAUCUAUCUAUCUAUCUAUCUAUCUAUCUAUCUAUCUAUCUAUCUAUCUAUCUAUCUAUCUAUCUAUCUAUAUAUAUAUCUAUCUAUCUAUCUAUCUAUCUAUCUAUCUAUCUAUGUGUGUAUGUAUAUGUGUGUGUAUGUGUGUGUGUAUAUGUGUGUAUAUGUGUGUGUAUGUGUGUGUGCAUGUGUGCGCGUGUGAACGUUUAUAUAUGCAUAUUGAUUGAUUAACUGAUUGAUUGGUUGACUAAAUAGCAUAUACGACAUUGAUUACCAUACGUACACGUAUUAAUAUUUAAAUGAUAAGACCACAAAUAUAUGUUUGGAAUAAAUUUUACCUAAAUCUUCACAUUUUAUGUAGUGUUUACAGAGAGAUAGAGAUAUAGAGGAUGGGCUAGAGUCUAAAUUGCGAGAAACGAAGAAAAAGAAGAGCAGAGCACUAGCCACUCUCUUUCCUAAAAGUAAUUAAUGAUAGACAUUGUUGGUAUAAAAAGUCUAUCUGAGAAAUGAUGGCGAUAUCAACCUAAAAGUUUAUGCAGUAGUUAAAAGCGAAAUUUUCUCCGGAUGAUUCUUUCUAGGUGUAACCUAAUGGGAAGUAAUUUGGCGCAAAAUAAAGGGAAGUGGGAUAGCAAAGCAGUUAUACGUUGUUUGGUUCCGAAUCCUCGGAUGUAAUCUGUAGAGCUAAGAGUUUUAUUAAUUCUUUGGGGACUUCUUUCGUACUUUUUUGACGCCAGGCAUUUCUUCUACAGACACGCUUUUCCUCUUAGGUGAUUUAAAAAGAGGCUCACUAAAGCAUGCCCGGAGACGUGGGUGCCUGAUGCGAUACCUCUUCCACGCGUCUUCCAUAUCACCUCUUUCGCUAUAGCUAUAACUGCUAGAAACCAGAAGUUCCCUUCUCCUUUUAGCGGAGACAGCGGAACGAUCUUAAUAAUCGAUUCGGCAGGCAGCUGUACUCUCCCCAGCUGUGACAGUACCCUUUUGGUAGAAAACCACAGGUCCGAGAGGCUUGGACACCGUAAGAUUGCAUGCAGAACAGUUUAGUUGCUCUGCCCGCAACGUGGGCACCUAGGCGAAACCGUGACAUCAUGCCUCGCAAGUUUAUUCCGAACUGGCAAGGCACUUCGGAAGCACAGCCAAGCCAGGUACUUCUGGAAGUUGCCCAUAGGUCCCAGGCCGAAAGUCCUUCGAUGCAGGUUGGCAAGCUGACUUUCAUUGAAACCCAGAGUCUCCCCCAAACCGUCAUCACAUUUGCCCUCUACCAGCCUCUAUAGUACGCCGAGGUGGUACCCCCUCCACCGGCAUUGCUCGUUCGGGAGAGAAGUACGAGCGCCUGUCGACACUCUGCUUGCCAAGCUCCCAGCCUUUGUCUACGCCUCAUCCAGCUUUCCAGUUCACCAAAAGAGGUGAGCCUGGGAAAUAUCUCAUCAACGAACGGAGACCACUCCCGUUCACCGUCCAGGUAGAGCCAGAGACGCCUCUACCUCAGCGCAUGCCUGCGCAUCUUUGACCACGGCACCCCUAACCCACCCUUUAGCGGCUGUUGGCAGCAGAUAGAGCGCCUUACAAGAGGCACCUGCCCUCUCACAAGAAGUGAAAGACUAUGCGUUCCAACUUGUUUAGCCACGAAUCAGAGUACGGCACGACGGUUAGGUGGUAUGUAAUGACAGAUGCGAUAAACACAUUUGCUACCUCCGCCCUCCCUUUCUGGGAUAGCCUCCGCCCAGACUAUGUCUAAGUUAUGGACGUCACUCUGCUCGUAACCUCGCUCCAAUUUUUCUCUAUCUGGAGGUCUUAACAGCAAGCCAAGUUGACAUAGUUUGAUAUUGGGCCCCUAGACCCGACUGGACAACUGCACCGUAUACUUAUGCCAUAACGCGGCUCUGACUGUAGAGAGUCAAAGUCUUUUUGGAGAAUUUUAGUGCUAUGUGCUAUGAAGAAUACUGGACUUUCAUGAAAGAUCCUUAAUAUUUUUACUGAUCUAAAAAUUUGAAGUGGUCGGUGGAGACUAUUUCUAUUAGGCCACUCUCUUUCCUAAAAGUAAUUAAUGAUAGACACUGUUGACAUAAAAAGUCUAUCUGAGAAAUGAUGGCGAUAUCAACCUAAAAGUUUAUGCAGUUGUUAAAAGCGAAAUUUUCUCCGGAUGAUUCUUUCUAGGUGUAACCUAAUGGGAAAUAAUGUAAUCUGUAGAGCUAAGAGUUUUAUUAAUUCUUUGGUUAAUGAAAUUAAAUUUUGCUUUUCUUCUUUUCUUUUGGCUGUCUUGUAGUGAUGUCACAUGAAGAUAAAUAAUAAUCAACCAGUGGCUUGUGGCAGGCAGUUUCUAGGAUCUCAAACAGAGAAAAACUUGCAGCUAUUUUAUAUUUUCUCAGUCACCCUUAAAGCAUUUUUUAGAUCUACUGAAGUACACUAUAUGUGACUUAAGAACGUGUAUCAAAUGGAAGUAUAAAUACGAAUGCACUUCUUGGGUUGAAUUCGGUACCAUGUGAGCAACUGAUUCAGUAGAGUGGGGUGUCAUUCAGCGAAAUUCUGCAUAGAGACAGUACUUCCGUUGUUUUUGGAUGUAAAGUGUAUUCGUCUCGAUCAGACCUCGUACGUGGUUUUGUGUGUUGUUAAUAAAAGUUAAUGUUGUGGAGAUGGCCAUAACGAUGACAACGACAACGAAAAUAAUAACGCGAAAAGAAGAGUGAAUGAUGGGGAGGAGGAAUUGAGGGGAGGGUGUAAAUAAAUAUGAGAGGUAAAUGUAGGGGAGGGGUAAAUGAAAGAGAGGAGGAAGAAUAAAUGAGGAUGAUAGUGAUGACAGUAAUGACUAUAAUUAUUAUAAAUGGUCAUAAUGAUUGCAAUUUCACGCAAGAUCGGACAAAGAUAUUCUGUUUGCUCUCUACAUAGUAUUACAAAUAACAGUUAUGGUUUCAAGUCCCACAUCACAGACUAUUUUCAUUCUCUUUAUGUCAACUUUAGUCCCCCACCUUCGGGAAAAAAACAGCAGAAAAACCUUACUUAAUAUAUACUUGUUUUGAAAGUAUAGCUCAUUAACAAAUUUAGUUAAAUGCAUAGUUUUCUUUCUAAUUACCACUACAAACCGCAAGUAGACUGAUUUCCACUCUGAAGUAAUUAUUGUUUCUAAUUUAGGCACAAACCCAGCAAAACUCGUAGUUAUUUUAUCAACCCCGAAAUAAUGAAAGGAAAAACGAAAUAAUGAAAGGAAAAUCGUUCAUUACAGUGAAAUUUCAACAAAUACGGCGCAGUAUUUUGUCGCUCUAACGAUUCUGUCAAUCCACCACUCUCUGAUGUAAUUAUAAAAGGAGCAAACAUAACAUCUAACUUGCUAAAUACUUCCUUCACCUCAAUUCGCAGAAUACAUACAUACACAUAUACACAUGUACCUACGUGUAGGCACACAAAUGUGCACUCAUACAUGCUCCCACGUGUACACACGUUACAUAAGUCAUGAGGGACGCAAGAAGAGUGCUCAACACUGGGGAACAGGGUGUGUAAAUAUUUUUUAUCCAAAAUAGUCAUCACAAUAUCUAAUACCUUUGGUUUCCUGCUAAUAGAGCGAGUUUACAAGCUUUUGUCUGUAGUUUAAUUUAGGGAAUUAUUGAUUCCAUACGAAUUAAAGAUAACCGUUUAGCAAAUAGCUGUAACUUGUAGUUUCUACAAUACAACUAUAUAUACAUAUGCACACACACACACGCACACGCGCUCGCGCGCGCAGACUUUAGGUUAAUCAAAAUAUGUUUGUGACAUAUUUCACUGCAGUUACCGUGGAGAAAAAAAUUCUCGCUUAUGGUAAAAGACGCAAAAAUACUAAUCUGCUCAGUGUCUCUACACGGUAACAGUAGUGAAUUUAUUUUUAGGAGUUGAAAUGUGAAACAACCAUAUUUUAACUAACCUAAAGUUCGUCUAUUCCUCAUCACUGCUUAGUGUUGAUACCCUUGUGUGUGUGUGUGUGUGUAUGCAUAAAUAAUUAAGGAUAAAAUCAUUUAAUGAUCUUAUCAGUGGCCAGCAUGUGAUAUGUUUUUCAGUACCCUUAAUUAUAAUUAUAUUUAAUUAUAUACACACACACACACAUAUAUAUAUAUAUAUUAUAUAAAUUCCGUUCUGUCUGUGUAUGUCUUCUAGGAUCUCGGGCAUCCUCCAUCCGAUUGAUAUGUAGAUACCGACGGUAUCAGGGCGUGUAUAAGUCUUGAAAAAAUUACAAAAAUCGAUUCCAGGUGAGAAUGCGAUCGAUAAAGCCGUGGAAACCUGCAUUUGUAAAAUCGUUUUUCUUGGAAUAGAAAAAAGUCUAUCUUUAUUUCUUCUUUUGCUAGUGUCUCAAAAAUAGGUAAAAAUCAUCAGUGUUUCUCAAAGGGUAGGCCUAUGGGACGGUUGGACAAGCUGUUUUGAGAAAAUUUGGUUUAAAUGUUUGACAACUCAGCACCGUCCAUUGGACGGGGGCGUUUUGCUCGUGUAUAUAUAUAUAUACGCCAUGAUAGACGCCAUGAUAGAUCGUUAGCUUCUACACGCAUUUUUUCUCUCCUUUUUUUUCUCCUUGUUUCUCUCCUUGUUUUUUUCUGUGUAUCUUUCUGUCGAAGAGCGUAGGCUCGAAACGUAAAAGACUUUUUCUAUUCCUGAGCGCUAUACUAAUAUAUUUGUUUGUUUCUACUGCACCUGCCUUCGUCUUUUGUUUAUUUUCAUAAACUUUCCCUUUAUAUAUAUGUGUGUGUGUGUGUGUAUGUGUGUGUGUGUGUGUGUGUGUGUGUGUGUGUGUGUGUGUGUGUGUGUUUCUGAGUAAACUUUAUCUGUAUAACAUAUUCAAUGUUUGCGUGUUGUUGAAAAAUCGAUAAUAGGGCCCCUAGAAGGGAUCCUUAUAUAUAACUAAUAUAUUUUAUUUUUAGAAUUAUUUUCGCAAUUUAUUCAGCACAACCCUUAAACAAGUAAAUAGCAUUUUCCUAAACAAUAGAUCCACUUAUUUCGGUUAUUGACUUAUUCAGGAAUACACCAUGAAUGACGAUUCCUUUCAUGUCGCUCAGCCAAUUGACAAGCGCUGCAUGAAGAACUGUUCUGCUUUUAGACAAAUGCAUUGUCAACACAAAGGUCACACCCUAUUUAUAUGUAGGAACACCUUGAAAUAUAUCUGUACAUCUUGAAAAUGGUCAGCGUAUAUAUUUCACAGAAGACAAUGCUCGAAACGUAGUUCUGAAUCUACCAGAAACUACUUUGACAGCUUUCUUAAAAUUAUGCCAGUGUGAUCUGUUUGACCGAGCAUUGUUGUAUCUAGUGGUCCCCGUGUACUAUACCUGGACACACAAUAGAUGGAACGGACGCGAGCAAGGAACAUGCAUUGAGGGCUGGGAAGAAGAUGCUAUCUUCAGAAGUGGGACCAUCGGGCGGGUGUUCAGUGUGCACCCUAAUCAACAGGAGUGCUUCUUUCUGCAUCUACUGCUACACACUGUCAGAGGUCCUACAUCAUUCACAGACUUUCGAAAACACAAUGGGAAGUCUGCACACCCAAUAGAGAAGCCUGGGCCAAACAUAGACUACUGGAGGGCGAUGCUUACUGGGACCAGACACUGGAAAAGGCAGCAGUCAGCACAGCACUAAGUCAACUGUGCCAGCUAUUUUUUAUCAUGUUGAUGACAUGUGGCUUGCGUGAACCUCACAAGCUUUGGGCGAUUCACAAAACCAGCAUGGCAGAAGACAUAUAGAAAGGAUUCAAGGGCAAACCUCAGCGGAAAUUGCUACGUUCAAUAACGCCAUUUACAAUGAGGCAUUACUUGACCUAGACGCCCGAGUGCAAGCUAUGGGAGGUCAAGGCAAUUUCACAUUUGGUCUGCCUCAACCAGAGCAGGCAGCAAACAAUCUCGCAAUUGAGUACCUGCGAGAAAUGAGCUAUGAUGUCGCGGAAAUGACGGCGUAUAUAGCUGAUAAAGAACACAAACUGAUGGAGGAUCAACUGGGUGUUUAUAAUACCAUUAUUUCGAGCAUUGAAAAUGGAAGAGGUCUUUUCUUUCUGGAUGCUCCAUGUGGAACUGGCAAAAGAUUUGUCAUCAACGUUCUUCGGCUAAACUGCGCCAAAUGAAACACUGCCACACACACACACACACGGAUUUUCCCCUCUUCAGUAGAGAAUACGAUUAGAAAUAAAUGUAAUACGUACAAGCACCCUUGGAAAAAAGCAGAAGCAAGAGUCAUGUGUACACAUAAGUACCCCAGUUAUAUCUAAAUGUAAAAUCCUUUAGGUAGCCUCAGCACACGUGUGACUAGUGCCGAACCACAACUUUUAAUGGUUACCAGUCCCGAAGUGAACGGUAAUAAAUUUACUUCUAAUAUAGGAUAAAAAAAUGUUUCCAUAUAUAUAUAUAUAUAUAUAUAUACGAUGGCCUUCUUUCAGUUUCCGUCUACCAAAUCCACUCCCAAGUCCUGGGUCCGCCCAAAGGUAUAGUAGACGACACUUGCUCAAGGUAGGUGCCACGCAUUGAGAUUGAAUCUGGAACCAUGUGGUUGAGAAGCAGGCUUCUUACCACACCUGCGCCUAUAUUUAUAAUAUUCAUUCAGUCAUUCUUUCUUUUUCUCUUUAUGUGUUUUGUUUCUUCAUUAAUUUCUUUGUUUUUCUCCUUCCGGUCUCUAUUUUGUUUAUUUAUUUACUUAUUUUCUUACUUUUUCUUUUUAUAUUUCCUAUACUUCCCUCUUUCCACGAUUUUCAUCAUAUUUCACUUCUUCUGUUGCAUCUCUCCCUUUCUCUUUCUCUCUCACUCACUCUCUUUCUCUUCCUUCUCUUCAUUUCUUCCCUCUCCUUCCUACUUUAUCCUCUUACUUUAUUCCCACCCUCUUAUUUCUCUCUCUCUCUCUCUCUCUCUCUCUCUCUCUCUCUUUAAUUCUCUAAUCUAUUAUUGAUAAACUCUAUAAGCAAUUAUAUUAUACAAAUCAUCAAAGUUCAUGGCAUUGUCCUAUCUGAGUUAUUUCCUUUCGCAUAUUUUUUCUUUUAACAAUUAAAUAAAUUUAUAUAUAUAUAUUAUAUAUAUAUAUAUAUAUAUAUAUAUAUAUAUAUAUAUAUAUAUAUAUAUAUAUAUAUAUAUAUAUAUAUAUAUAUAUGUCGUUAACUUAUUUGUGUUAUUUCCCUUGACUCAUUUUAUCAAUUUUUUUAAUAAUAAUAUCAAGCCGAACAUCAUUCCUUCUUAUUUCUUCGUACUCUACCUACCUACUUACCUAUCUCAGCAACGCACGAACCUACUUAUGCUAAUUGCUCACCCAUUUACCUACCUACCAACCAAGCUACAUAUCCACCCAUAUACCUACCUACCCCGGUAUCUUCUCGCCAAAUUAAUGAAACCCACCCACGUAAUAAAAAAAAAUACUUUAAACAUCUUUCCAUUACACCGUCACCUCAGCGUCAUCAUUACCACUGCCACCAGCACCGCCACUACUACUACUACAAAACUGCCAAUGCCAUUCUUUUAGCAUUGGCACUACCCACAUCCUUACAUUCCUUUACAAACAUCUUACAGAGCUUAAGGGAGAACUAUCUACACCCAUCAACCCUAACAAACUCCACCAGUAAUCACACCACCACCACCGCCACCACCACCACCACUACUGCUGUUACUGCUGCUUUUGAUGUUGUUGCUGUUGUUACUACUACUACUACUACUACUACUACUACUACUACUACUACUACUACUACUACAACAACAACUACUGCUGCUGCUGCUGCUGCUGCUGCUACCACCAUCAACACCUCACAUAGGCAUCACCUUCUCGAAUCAGUACCCGCCUACGCAUGAAUCAACGAGGAGAAGCUCUACACAGUAGUUCAUGAUGCUAAAAAUAGCUGUGAAAUCCCUAUCAAAUCACACCAUGCUGUGCUAAAAAAAGAGUAAACACAUUUGAUAAUGUAGUCCUAGGCAUCCCUAAAGAAAAACACGAUGGUCACUGUUGGAAUGACUGCAUUAAUAGAACGCCGGACAAAAUGUCUUGCGUGGGUACUUAACUAGGGCGUUUUACAUUCUGAGUUGAAAUUAAUCCCUUCCGGAGUGGUAAAAUACAGAACCAGUCUAGUACUGUAUCAAUGUAUGUACCAAAAGAGUAUGUUAGAUAUGAGUGGAAUUAUAAUAGUUCACGACUAUGAGGUUUUGGGUUCAGUCCCACUAAACAAAACUUCGACAAGUGCUUUUUACCAAAGCCCUGGAACUGUGUCGAAACCCCUUCGGAAGAGCUGUUCCUGUUUUGUCGACUGUUGGUAGACUUAAUCUGUUGCCUUGUUAUAACACCAUUAGCUAGGGUAUGAAUACCGUUAGCAGAGGUUUUUCUGUUGCAAGUACUCACGGUCAGAUCUGAGUAUGAAGGUUACUCCAAACGUCCACAAUCUUCUGUAAGUAUCGAAGGUCCUGAAAAAGUUUAUGGCCGACUACAUUUCUUCUGAACAAACUAUUAAAAAAAAAAAAGGUGGAGUGUGGUGCUAUGUAAACUGAGUGACUAAUCAAGUAUACCACGACCCUUGAAACGCGGGAUAGCUCAUCCGACAGACUUCCAGUCAGUUCCAAUUCUGCCCAAUUACAUUUACAUGUCUUGGGUGGUAGAGGUUAGAAAAGAAGAAACUUGCUCAAGAUUUUUUUGUAGCGCGAAGGUUAACAGUAGAGAUAAGUGUACUGUUUAGAAUAACAAGAGCACUAAUUGCCUCUCAAAAUACUAAGGCACAAGCCUACAGAUUUAGUAACGAGUUGAGUCAGCUUAAUCGAUUUCAGUGCUUUGCUUGUAACUAUCAAAUCGAUCCCGGAGGGUAAAAAUAGCUAUGUCAACUCAGGCUAGAUUUGAACUUGUAAGAUAGCGGUACAUCUAAAAGUGAAAGAAUAUUUUGCACGGCGUUUUACCUAUUCCGCUAACAGCAGUGAUGGCGGUAGGGAUGGUGGUAUUCUUGGUGAUGGUGGUAUUCUUGGUGAUGGUGGUGGAGGAUGAUUCCUUACUACUACGUCUACACCCAUUAACCGGUGAUGAAAAUGGUGGGGAGUACGAAGGGGAACGGCAUUCCCUUACUUUUCAGCUCACAGAAGGAGGAGUAACUUAAAGCUUCUUGCUCUAUGUUCUAUGGCCUCGGCCUCAGCUUCUUGGGCCUUUUCCAUACCCCUAGUCCCUAAUGCUGAUUUUCAUCACUGCCACCAGCAGUAUCGCAACAAAUGGGAACCUAAGGGCUAAUUCCCUGCGCGGUAACUCGACCUGCUAAUAGUUGCAACGAAAAUACUCUCAAAAUACAUGCCCACUGUCUUAUAAAAGGAAGGAAAGAUUGGUUUAUUGGUUUAUGUAGUCCUACAUACGCUGUGCCAAAAAAAGAGAAAAAAAAAAAAAACGGACACUAGAUGGUCAUGGCUUGGAUACCUUUGGUCAAGGGUUUACUCGACCAGGUCUGACCUGGGGUUUAAACAGCAGAAGCACCAACGUAAUUUUCUUUCUGUGUAUAGUGGUGGGAGUGGUGGAGUAGGUGGUACAUCACUCAAUGAGUGCUGCUCCAUCACCACCACCACCACCAUCAUCGCCACCACCUCUUUCUCCGCCACAUUCACACACAAAUAUUCCCCCACCACUCCAUCCCACACAUAGACAGUUAUGAGAGUACACACACACAUACACACACACACACGCGCGCACACAACAUGAAUGAAAUUAUUAACGACGCAGAGCUAGGCAGAAUCACUCGAUAAAAUCUGGAGCUACACCUCCACGUGUUCUAGAUACGACACAUGCGUUUGCACGCGUUUCUCUCUUUCACAUGUUUCCCCAUUCAUGAAAUGCUAACACCACCGCCGCCGUCGCCAUCAUCUCACCAUCAUCACUAUCACUAUCACUAUCAUCAUCAACGCCACCGCCGCAAGAGCCGCCUCCCUCAUCGACUACUGCUUGCUUACAACUGCUUGCUAUGCUACUGGUGUUGUUGCCACCGCAUUACUGACGUUUGAUAGUAAUGUGGGUAGAUACGAAAGGGGUGGUACUCGGUGGUGGUGGUGGUGGUGGUGGUGGUGGCUACGGUGUUUGUGGUGACUUUGACAGUGGUGGUGCUGAUGGUAGUGGCGAUAGUACCGGUAAUGGUGUGGUGGUGUUUGUGGUUGUGACUGUGGUGUUUGUAGUAAUGGUCGCUGUGGAGUUAAUGGUGAUGGUGGUAGUGCUGGAGGUUUCGAAGGCGGCGUAAAGUUGUUGUAGUGGCGAUGGUAGUAGUAAAAAAAAAGGUUGUUGCGGUGGUAGUUGUGGUGGUAGUUGCGGCUGUUGCUGUGUGUGUUGUGGAUGUUGCUGAUGGUGGUGCUGUUGGUAGUAACGAAGGUUGUUGUUGCUGUUGUUGUGGUAGUGAUAGUAAAUGGUCGUGAUCUUGGAGUGCGAUUUCAGUGCAAAUGUCGUCGUUAUAAUAGUUUACAGUGGUUGUUGUCAUUCUUAGGGUUGUAUUUGUUGUUGUUGUUACCAUUGCUGAUAUUGUUUUGGCAAUCGUUGCAGUCAUGUUCAUGUUGUUAUUGCUAUCGAUAUCCAUGUUCAUGUAGUAAUGUCAUUGCUACUAUAGUUGUUGUUACGGUUUAACCCAGGGUCAGUUCCGACUGAGCAGGCUUUAUGUAUGAUUUUUAAACAUUUCUUUUGAAGCUAUUAUUACGUGACUUUGUUCAGAGUGUCGAGUUUGAUAUGAAGGAGAAUUGCUUGUAAUUUCUAGCAAGUGGAGCUGCGUAGUGGCUCCCUCAUAAGCUGCUUACUACCGUUGUUGCUGUUGCACACAAUUGUAAGCAGUAGUAGUAGUAGUAGUAGUAGUAGUAGUAGUAGUAGUAGUAGUAGUAGUAGUAGUAGUAGUCGUAGUAGUAGUAGUAGUAGUAGUAGUAGUAGUAGUAGUAGUAGUAGUAGUAGUAGUAGUGGUGGUGGUGGUGGUGGUGGUGGUGGUAGUAGUAGUAGUAGUAGUAGUAGUAGUAGUAGUAGUAGUAGUAGUAGUAACAGCAGCAACAGUAUUAAUAGUAAUAGUUGUUACUGAUAUAGUAAAAAUAGGCAGAUGUAGAUGGAAGAAAGAAAGACAGAAAGAAAGAAAAACGGUGAUGCUAUGAUGAUGUAUUGAGGAAGAGGGGGAGUAACGAGAGAGGGUAACAUACCAUUGAAUAUUUUGCUAGUAUGCUGCUACCACUAUUAUUGUUGCUGUCGUUGUUGUUGAUGUUGAUGAUGAUGGUGGUGGUGGUGGUGGUGGUAAUGAUGACAUAAUGUAAUAUAUUUCGCAAUCACAUGCUUCCUGUUUCGAUCCUAUUGUGCAGGAAUCUAGGCAAGAAUGUUCUAAAGUACACUCGGGUUUAGUAAUGCCUUUGAGUUAAGCUCAAUAGACGGAUGUGUGUGUGUGUGUGUGUGUGUGUGUGAAUGUUUACACACAUGUACACACAUAAACCACACACACAUACACCCGCACGCAUACACACGCACACAUGCAUACAUGUUUUAUGCAUAUAUGUAUGAUUGUGUAUCUGUAUAUGACUCUCUCUCUCUGUAUAUAUAUAUAUAUAUAUAUAUAUAUAUAUAUAUAUAUAUAUAUAUAUAUAUAUAUAUAUACAUGUAUGUGUGUGUGUGUGUGUGUGUGUAUUAUAUGUAUAUAUGUCUAUCUGUCUGUCUGUCUGUAUGUAUGUAUGUAUGUAUGUAUGUAUGUAUGUAUGUAUGUAUGUAUGUAUGUAUGUAUGUAUGUAUAAAACUUGCCUUGACUGACAAGAAUCGACUUUAUUAACUACUAAUAAAGGAGCUACCAAAGACCUGUGGUUACACCUCCGUUCACGAUAAGCAUGUGAAAGAUACCAGACGUUCUGUAUGUGUGUGAAAUUUAAAGUAUUGUAGCGUGAAUCAAUAAUUAUUUAUAUUGCGUGCUCCCAUUCUUUCGUUUGUACACGUAAACAUUCGUGUGCGAGUACACGCACGCAAACACACACACACAUGUGUUUAUGUAUAUAUGUGAGUGCGCGCACGACUGUAUGUAACUUAAUGGGACUCAAAUUUUGUGUUACCACUCGAGUUUUAUGUCACUGCGAUCUUCAGGCGAGAACUGUUACAACUCGGUUUUCGCUGGUAUGUUUAUAUUCACUGGUGGGCAUGUUUUCAUGCUUGUGUUUGUUCACUUGUUUGGAUUUUGUGUUUGCUGAUUGGUUGCUAUAUUCCCGUUUCAAAUACUCAAUAUAACCUCAUUAUUUUCCUUUCUAUUUCUGUAUUUUGUUUUUAUCUGAAUGGAUGACUGUAACCAUAUACUUUACAACCCUUCAGAUACCAGUGAGGUAAAGGCAUUUGAUAUUCCUUUCAAAGUUGGCGCCUACAAGAAAAAUAUAUACACGAGGUUAUUCUAGUGGACCGACAUUCUGAGAGAAAAGACUUGGCGUAGUUGUUAAUGUGGAUCCUGGAUACAAGUGUUGGAUACAAUAUGGGUGAUGAGAAAAGUAGAGACGUGUGAAUGUUUGUAUGUCUAUAUAUGUAACUGCAUCGCGGUAUGCCGUUAUACAUCGCUGGUCACAAUGCGCUUCCAAUUAUUUCUUAAAUUCGCCAUUUUUUCCCAUCUUGUACCAAAUCACUUAACCAAAUCGCCUUCCCAUCGUCUUGGAGGCCUUCCGAGGGGCCUUUUCUGUUUUCUUGUUUAUCAUUCGGCAACAACAUGGGUCCGCCAGUUGUUUGUGAAACUUACAGCAUCUUCGACCCAGAGGAAUUUGUUCUUUGAGUCACGUCACGUUCUAUAGUCACGUCAUUCACUCCGCUGCAUUCUCGAAUUAUCUAAUUUCGAAUAGGUUCUCGUAAUGAUAUUCCUGGAUCUUCCCAUGACCCUUUGUGUUGUAGUCAAUCAAUGUUUUUCUCUCUUCGCAGUAGCUCAUGUCUCAUGCAUAUAAGGUAGAACAAUGCUAUUGAAGAGUCUGCUACUUAUCGCCUUGUCCAGCUUUACUUUGAGCACAUUUAUUGAGGUAAACGCCUUCUGUCCUGCCCGUUUUCUCUUCGAGAUUUCAUCAUAUUUGUCUCGGUACAUAUUCACUGUAUGCCCUAAGUAGUCGUACUCCUUUACUUUCUUGACUUCAUCGCACCCAACCUCUGUUCGACUUUCUGCUAAGUCUUCGGAUCGCAUUAUUUUGUUUUCUUGCAAUUCAUUUUAAGGCCUACAGCUGACUAUGUAUGUCUAGCAUUGUCUGCUUGGUCAGCAGCUGAUGUGCGGUUUCGGCAAUUCACACAAUGUGAUCUGUGAAUCGGAGAUGUGUUAGUAUCGCGCCGUUGAUGUUCACGUCACCUGUCCAUUUUGAUGAUCAACUGAAAUGCUAAGUCAGCUCACAUUACAACAACACAUUUACAUGUACAAGGAAUAGCCAUUAACUUUUUCUUUCAAAUUAUAGGCUUGGCUGCGUGGUCAGAAGCGUGCUUCUAAACCACAUGGUUUCAGGUUCAGUCCCACUGCAUGGCACCUUAGGCAAGUGUCUUCUACUAUACCCUCGGGCCGCCCAAAGCCUUGUGAGUGAAUUUGAUAGUUGGAAAAAAAAAAAUAUAUAUAUAUAUAUAUUGUUGUUGUUGUUGUUGUUGUUGUUGUUGUUGGCAUCCUUUUUGUCUCGGGAGACAAUGGAGUUGCGCAUAAAAUAAUCUUGUCCGGUUUUUACAUUUCAUGUCCUAAUACAUCUCCUACUGUGACUGUGUAGUCCUAUCCUGGACAAACACUCCCUCUGGCAGGUGCCGCAAAUGUAGCGAUGACUUUGCCUGGCUGGUUGUAAUGUCAUAGUUUCUUGUUGACGUCUUUUCUUGUCUUUCCAUUUCUCCUCUCUCUCUUUGUCACUCCUUUGUGUUCCCUCUUUUACGGUGCGUCGCCAAUCUCCACGGUUGCUAGCAACUGCUUCCCAUUUGCUAAUAUUGAUGUCGCAGGCCUUCAUGUCCCUUUUGCAAACAUCCUUGUAUCGUAUGAACGGUCUUCCCACAGACCUAGUAUCCCUAGCAAGCUCUCCGUAGAGUAUGUCCUUGGGGAUUCUGCCAUCUUCCAUACGACUAACAUGUCCAAGCCAUCUCAUAUGUCUUUGUGUGAGGAGUGCAAACAUGCUUGGUAUUCCUGCUUGCUUGAGGACAUCUUUGUUAAGGACACGAUUCUCCCAUUUGAUGCCAAGCAUUUUCCGGAGGCAGCGCAGGUGAAAGAUAUUUAGGUGACGCUCUUGGCGUGUGUAUGGCGUCCAGGUCUCACUGCCAUACAAGUAAAAGAAUAAAUGUAAAAGAAUGUGUGUGUGUGUGUGUGUGUGUGUGUGUGUGUGUGUGUGUGUGUGUGUGCGUGUGUGUGUGCGUGUGUGUGUGUGUGUAUUUGUGUGUUUGUCUCUCUGCACCCUUUGAAACCGGUGUUGGUGUGUUUACAUCCCCGUAACUUAGUGGUUCGGCAAAAAAUCUCGAUAGACUAAGUACCAGGCUUUAAAAUAAAAUAACUCCUGGGGUCUAUUCAUUCCACUCAAACUCUUCAAGACGGAGCCCCAGCAUAGCCGUAGUCAAAUGACAGAAACAAGCAAAAGAUGAAAAAUAAAAAUGCGUGUAUAUCUCUGCCUACAUUAUAAGUUCGAGUAACAAUCAUGCGAUUCUGGAUGCGACCCACUAUACGCCGUAUUGAGUAGAGGUCUUUUAAGAUAUUCUUAAUGCCUUAUGAGGGGCAAACUAUGCAGAAGCCUAUUGUGUGCGCGCACACACACAUGUAAAGGGCGUGAAUAAGUGUAUAUAUGUACAUAUAUGCAUAUAUGUAUGUCUGUGUAUAUAUGUGUAUGUGUGUGUGCCUGCAUCUGUGCGUGUAUGUGUACAUAUGUAUUUAUGAUUGUGAAUGAGUAUGUGUAUAUCUUAUGAACAGGAUGUAAAUAUGCGCGAAAAAACAUAAAACCUAGUGCUUAUCGAACGAGGCCCAUUGUGAUAUUUGUUCUCCACUGAGUUACACAUACUUCCCCCAUCACUCCCAUCGUCAUAAAAACAGUAAACCAGUGAUUGGUUUCUUGGAACCUCCAACCAAUGACGCUUUUCUUACGAAUUGUGACACUGAAUUAAUAUAGAAAUAAAUAAAACAAUAAAUUUAAUUUUACUAUUGCAAUUUUCGUCUUGUUUUCACACAUUUGUCUUUCACAUUGACUUCCGUUUUUAAAUUUUCACUUUGACAUCAUUAUUUUCACAUUAAUAUUGUUUCUGGAUCUCCUACAGUUUUAUAUUUUCACUUUCGGUUUCACAGUUUAUCAGUUUGACAUUUUCUAAUUUUUGUUUGACAUUUUUACUUAAGUAAUACCUCUUCCCCAUUCUCCCGCGUCUUUAUUAUUAUUAUUAUUAUUAUUAUUAUUAUUAUUAUUAUUAUUAUUAUUAUUAUUAUUAUUAUUAAACUUUAUCUUUAUUCAUAGAUUCACUUUGACAUUCUCAUUUUUGCUUUGACAUUUUCGUUUUUACUUUUGACAUUCUCACUUAUCAGAAACUCCACGUAAAAAGACACAUGGCAUUUUUCUGAAUCCAUAAUUGAAGCUGUUCAUCAGAGACGGGUAGAAAAGAAACAUAAAGGAGAAAAUAUCGAGAUAUAAAAUGCACACAUGUGCACACUCGUACACACAGAGAGGAGCCAAGACUGUAUUAAUCUCACUUUCAUUCAUGAAUUCCCAUAAAUCAUAGCAUUCUACAUGAUCUUUACUGGCAAGAAAUUCGGUCAUUACAUCGUUUCUUGCCAUAAUCCGUAGUUUCUCAGAUGGUUGUUGGACAAAACAUAGGGAGAUUAUACAUUCUUCUUCAUGCCACACAGUGUACACGCACACACAAACUCACGCACACGCAUACACGUACACACACACACACACGCACACAUAUAGAUACACAUUCACAUUUAUAUAUAUAAAUGCAUAUACAUUACUUACCUGGAUAUAGAUCUUCCAGCUUUCUGAGAAGCAUAGCUUUCGCACGCGUUGUUGCUCUGCACUUGUUCUCUUUGGUCUUAUCAACCUAGUUCUUGUACAUUUGAACUGUUCUUAGAAUGUUCGGUACUAGGGGUUUGGAGGUUUUGAUGUUCACAUUAUUGGAGCCUUUGCACGCUUAGUGACUGGCAGUUAUAAAAUAUGACAUUAGAUGAAACCAGUGCAGCACCACGAUAUUUUGCAGCGGUUAAGAUUUGCUUCACAUGAGAAUUUCUUCAUUUGUGAUACGUUCUUCCAAAGUGAAUUUGAGAAUCUUUCGUUGACACAGUUGGUAGAAUGUUUCCAACGUCUUGGCCACCUUUGUUGUAUUUUUCCAUAUUUCACUGUAAUACAAAAUAGUUAACAGAAUGUUUGCACUAUAAUUAGACCUUUAUUGCAAUGAUAAUGCUUGUUGUCUAGAUUUAGUGCAUGCACAGGGAAAUGUUUCUUGCUUAGAAGUUCAGCUUCUCAGAUAAUUUUAUAAGCUUCCAUCACUACUGAUCAUACUGUUCAUGUAUGCAAAACUGUCCACAUCUUCGAAAACCAGCCGCCCAAUGAAGACUGGAGGGUGGGUUACAUUAAUCUGCAUCACUUUGUUCUUUUCCCAACUAAUUCUAAGCCCGAUUUUCCCUGCUUCUUCUUUGAGUUAAUUAAUUAGAUUUUGCAGUAAUCCCUUAUUUUUGUUUGCAGUGCAAUAAUAUCGGCAAUAUUUUGAUCACACAGCCUUUCCGUUACCUUUCACCGUAGACCUGCAGUGCACCGAAUGGUUACUUUCUUUAUUAUAAAAUAAACUGGUAUCAGGAAGAGAAGAAACAAGAGGACACAAAUCUGACAGAUACCAGUGAGGAGGAUAAAGUCGUCAGUGUGGCUUGUAUAUGUCCUGUCAUUAUAGUUGAAGUCCUCAAAGAAAUUCUUGAAGAUGCUGAGGUACCUUUCGGGCACACGUAGGUGAUCAUCUAUAGUGAUUUUCAAUUAAUGCCGUCAAAAUCCACUUUUUUAUUUGAAGUCCGCGAAAUCGUUAUCUAAUACUCUUACCAGAAGUCUAUGCGCUUUGCACGAUAGUUUUAGAGUGAAGAAUUUUCUCAACGCAAAUCUUGUUCAACAACACAAUACAGAAUGUGUUUUCUGGUACAGAAAGAAAUGUAAUUCCUCGCUCCUUUGCCAGUUGUUGCAGCCUACUGGAUUUGCCGACUUAGGAUGCUUUACAAUUACUGCUCUUCAAUCAGCCUGGAUUUGCUGUUGCAGCCAACACCUGUUGAACAGAUUUCUAAGUAAGUCUUUGCGUCUGAUCUACUAAUGCUUCAAAUGUUCAGAUGAAAUUUGAUCGGAUGCAGCUGCUUUUUUUUCUUCUGUGUUCUCGGUGCUUGUAUUUCCUCCUCUGUGAUCUCAUUAGGUACGUGCAGGGUUUCAGCUUUUGGUAAUGAGUUGAAGUCAAAGAGUGCAACUGGAUGUGGCUCGUUCAGCGUCUCUUGGACUUACAUAUAGGUUUGCAAGAACUCAAGAUCGAUCGUAUUGAGCUAUUGGUUUACUGAACAACCUGCACAGAUGGUUUGUAUAUAAUAAUUAAAUGUUAGUGCCGUACAUUAGCUCCCUCUCUCCAUCAAAUCAACAUUGCCUGUACAGGUGCACGGUGUGCCACACAUCAGGUGUCAAAAUGAUUACAGACCAAACUGCUUACGUUACUGGUCUAUAUGCAGAUUAGUAUAGCUUCGUUUCCAAGCAUAGAAAAGGAUUUUGGUUCCAAGAGUUUUACUUCUCAUUCAUAGGGGCUGAUGGCUCAGGACCAACCACGAUGGUCUGUGAAGAUUUCUGCACAGGUCCCAAGGAGGAGCCCCGCCUGUGUGUGUGUGUGUGUGUGUGUGUGUGUGUGUGUGUGUGUGUGUGUGUGUGUAUGUGUGAGUGUGUGCGUGUAUGUCUACAUAUGCAUAUAUGUAUGUUUGUAUGUAUGUAUGUUUGUAUGCAUACAUCCUUGCAUACAUGUAUGUAGUUUGUAUGCAUGCAUCCUUGCAUGCAUGUAUGUAUUUGUGUGUAUGUAUGUAUGUAUGUAUGUAUGUAUGUAUGUAUGUAUGUAUGUAUGUAUGUAUGUAUGUAUGUAUGUAUGCAUGUGUGCAUAUAUGUUUAUGUGUGUUCCCUAUGCAUUUGUAUAAAUACAUACACACUUUUCUGCUUUUGACAGGUACUUCCUGGUUUAAAUCACUUAUAUCAUACUGUAUAAGAACUACAAUGUUCAGUGUACAUCACUUGAAGAUUAUAGUUACCUUGGCAAAAGGAACUGUAAGAAAUCCACCUGACUCAUUUGAAAUUCUAAUUGACAUACACAUAUGUAGAUAAGUAGGCAUACCUGUGUAUAAUUAUGUAUAUGUGCAUAUAUAUAUGUUAUGUGUGUGUAUUUAUAAUUUAUAUAUACGUGUGUGUAUAUGUGGCAUAUGCAUAUAUAUGCAUGUAUAUAUGUAUAUAUAUAUAUAUAUAUAUAUAUAUAUAUAUAUAUGCAUAUAUAUGCAUGUAUAUAUUUAUAUGUAUAUAUAUAUAUAUAUAUAUAUAUAUAUAUAUAUAUAUGUGGCAUCUUGGGCAAGUGUCUUCUGCUAUAGCCCCGGGCCGACCAAUGCCUUGUGAGUGGAUUUGGUAGACGGAAACUGAAAGAAGCCUGUCGUAUAUAUGUAUAUAUGUAUAUAUAUAUAUAUAUAUAUAUAUAUAUAUGUGUGUGUGUGUGUGUGGGUUUGUGUGUCUGUGUUUGUCCCCCUAGCAUUGCUUGACAACCGAUGCUGGUGUGUUUACGUCCCCGUCACUUAGCGGUUCGGCAAAAGAGACCGAUAGAAUAAGUACUGGGCUUACAAAGAAUAAGUCCCGGGGUCGAUUUGAUCGACUAAAGGCGGUGCUCCAGCAUGGCCGCAGUCAAAUGACUGAAACAAGUAAAAGAGUAAAAGAAUAUAUAUAUAUAUAUAUAUAUAUAUAUAUAUAUAUAUAUAACAAAAGUGGAGUUGUAAGGUACCUCACGAGUGGAAUUAUAUACGAAAGGUUUGAAAAUGCAAUUUUAAAAGAUGUUUAUUGACUUUACCGGUUUCACUCUUUUGAAAAAGAUUGUCAAAAGUAACAUGUAAAAGUUUGGUUGUGUUAAUUAUUCGUUGUCACAAAAUGCUACAAUACAUAUAUACAGUCUUUGGUAACAAGAACAUGUUAAGGACAUAAAAAAGUUCAUUAAAAUAUUGGGCACAAAAGAUUACAACAUAUAUAUACAUUCUCAAGGCAAUGUUAAAGAUAGUUUCCAGAAGGAACAGAAUAUUAUGAGUUCAAAAAAGUUUACAUUAUAGUAGUAGGCAAGCUCAAACUGACCUGGUCCACCAUGUUAUCGUAAAAGACUAUUUACUAUUUUGUGUGUCUGUGUUUGUCCCCCUAGCAUUGCUUGACAACCGAUGCUGGUGUGGUUACGUCCCCGUCACUUAGCGGUUCGACAAAAGAGACCGAUAGAAUAAGUACUGGGCUUAUAAAGAAUAAGUCCCGGGUGGAUGGGGGGAGGAAGAGUAAUGUGGAGCUGAAAAGAAUUUCUUCUUUUUGUCUCCCCUUCACGCAUCAAUGAUUUGGGGGAUUGGUCUUUAGAGGUCAGAAUGGUGCGAGUGUGUGUGUCUUUGUGUGUGUGUAUAUACAUAUGUGGUGUGAAUAGAUGUGUCUGUAUGUUUGUAAAAUUUGGUAGGACGGUGUGUGUAUAUGUGUGCCCGUUUGUCAACCGUGUGUGUGAUUUUCUUGGUGUUGUGUGUGUGUGUGUGUGUGUAUGUGCGUGAUUGGCAUUCGUCAUGGUGCAUUUACAUGUUACUUUUGACAAUCUUUUUCUAAAGAGUGAAACCGGUAAAGUAAAUAAACAUCUUUUAAAAUUGCAUUUUCAAACCUUCUUUCGUAUAUAUAUACAUAUUAUAUAUAUACACACACACAAAUAUGUAUGUUUAUCUGUGUGUGUAUUUGUUUGUGUGAGUGCUUGCGUGUGUAUGUAUGCAUUUUCACACAAAUUGUAAACACACAUUGAUACACGUACUUACUCCUAGAUAUGUUUAUAGUGUUU
rnacentral:lncRNA from 1 species